GAUCCUGGCUCAGGAUGAACGCUGGCGGCGUGCUUAAUACAUGCAAGUCGAACGAAGCACCUUGGACAGAAUCCUUCGGGAGGAAGACCAUUGUGACUGAGUGGCGGACGGGUGAGUAACGCGUGGGCAACCUGCCUUGUACAGGGGGAUAACAGUUGGAAACGACUGCUAAUACCGCAUAAACGCACAGUACCGCAUGGUACGGUGUGAAAAACUCCGGUGGUACAAGAUGGACCCGCGUCUGAUUAG
rnacentral:rRNA from 1 species